UUAUCCUUUUUUUUUUUUUUUUGGCAGGUGCAGACUUCGUGAUGGAGUCCAGCAUAUAUUCCACCAUAUGUUCUCAAGAGGACAAUGUCAAUCUGUAUUUUGUAAAGCUAAUUGAGGACUCCCCUUCCAACAUACUACUCUGUGCUUAUCAGGCUUGUGAAAAAUUCAAUAGACAAUGGCUGUCAUGUGAAGACUGCAAGCAAGUCAUUCCUACCAAGGAAGAUGUCUUUAUUUGUGACCCAUUUAAAGGAGAAGCCUUUGAGUACCUGGUAUCGUGCCCCAAGUCUAUUGUGGUAGGUCCACAAUGCAUUCUUUCUUGUCUUCGUCGCAAUGAACCAAUUCCUGCCCUACCCUCACCACUGCACAAUACAGCCAUGAGUGGUCUUGUCAUCACUACCACAGGCUUCCCCAAGGCCCAGAAGGAGAAGCUUCAGCAUUUGGUCCAGCAGAUGUCUGGCAUCUUUUCCAACACCUAUCAUCUGGAUGUGACUCACCUUGUGGUCAAGAUGGUCGGCAGUGAGAAAUACAAGGUUGCAGUGGAAAAGGGAUGCCCAACCAUGACAGAAGAGUGGGUAACAGCUGUUUGGGAGGCGGUGCAGAAUGGGGAUGUGUCUAGCCAUGUUUCUGCAACAGAUAACCGUUUCUUACCAUACCUGUGUCAACCUUUGCAUGGACUGGUAGUGUGUGUUUCCCAGGCAGAUGAGGCCACCAAGUUGUCCCUGAAAAAGCUCAUAGAGGAGAAUGGUGGUACAUACACCACUAAGCUGGCAAGGUGGGAGACCUCUGUGCUCAUUGUGUCAUCUCCUGAAGGCAAAAAGUACCAAUUUGCCAUUAAGUGGGGUGUACCAUGUGUUUUCCCUGACUGGAUUCAUAACUCAGUACAACAAGGCUAUGCUCUUGACAAGGAGGAAUAUGAAGUUCCUCCACGCAAAAGCUCCACAUCCAACUCCAUCCUUAGUAAUGAUAUGCCUCCUGAUUUCUCAAUGUGCAGCACCAUCCUAAAUGACACAGAUACAUACAGAACAAUCAGCUUUGCAGAUGAAACUGUGGCCUUGGAUGGCUUGGUGAAGGAGAGAGAAGUUCUAGAGAACAGUGAUGUAGAAGCCUUGGAAAGUCUGGACUUGCAGGAUGCCAUGAAGGCAGGCAGUUUCCUGAAGGGCUAUCGUGUGUUCCUGUCAGGAUUUAAUGCCAACCACAUGGAGAAGCUGAGGCGGAUACUGGGUGCUGUAGGGCCUCCAGACUCAGCCAGCUAACAGAAUCUGUCACUCAUGUGGUACUAGCUAAACCAAAUGAGGAGCACCUGAAGGUAAUGCAAGGGUGGAACACAAAGCCUCAUGUUGUCUCUGUUCGUUGGCUCACUGAGAGUGUCCGCCUGAAGCAUCCAGCAGAAGAGUCCAACUUUGCUUUCAUGGUGGAGACUUGCACAAGUACCCAAAGGUCUUCCAUAAGCAUCACUGCAUUGGAUAAUGAUGAGACCCAUGUGGAUGAAAGAUUGCUUCAGGAGCAUUUUCAGCAACCAAAGAGAAGGCAAUCAAGUGCUAAAGAGUCAGAGCAGGAUCUUUCCCUCCUGCCAGAGUCACAGGCAUCAGAACUACCAGGCAUCUUCAAUGGGAAAACAUUCUGUGUGUUUGGACUUAGCCAGGAGAUGAAUGAAGAUUUGGAGGAAAUGAUAGAGCGUCAUGAUGGCCAUGUGGUGAAGAUGGGCAGUUCAGAGACUAUUCAUUACUCAGUGGUAACUGCUGGAAGUCACCAUGUGAAUAAGGGACAGCUAAUCUCCCAUGCCUUCCUAGAGGACUGUGUUGAGGCAAAGGUAAUUUAAUGUUAAGUUUUUUAGGUUUUGCAUAAUUUCAAUUUCUUUUUCUCCUUUUUUCUUACUUUUCUUUGCAUUAGAAUCUCAGUUCUUGUACUUAUUCAUUUCCUGAAUAUUGUUCGAAAUUUAUAAUGUUUGGAAACCGAAACUAUUUUCCACAUAGUAAUCAAAGUAAAAUGAAUUGAUACAUUCCAGGACACCUAUCUGUUCUCUCUUAGUGGCUCAUAACAGAUGCUCCCUCAACCAAGUGUCUGCUCCACAACAUCAGCUCAGAAAUCAUUAUUUAUACAUAAAGGAUGUAUUGAGUGAACUUUGUGACAAGGAAGCUAUUAGAAAAUAUUGUUUAGACUAAGUACCUGUUCUCUUUGUCACAGAUCUAGUAAGAGAAGCCUUAUAGAGUGACAGAGGAGUAAUCCACUUACUGUCAAACUGAAGGUGAUCAUAACACUUAAAACACCUUACUAUUGAGAAAAAGCCACUAGGAAAAUGUAGUUGUGUAAUAGUGAUUGCAUUUUGUGCCAUUAAGAGAGCUUGAAAUUAUUCCUUAGCACUGAAAGCUUUGUUUACAUCAAUGCUUUUCAACAGGAUGACUUUUAACAUACCUCAAAAAUUUAAUGACUGUCUUUUUCAUUGUCUCUCCUCCAAAUGCAUAAAAAUAAAGGAAAUA
rnacentral:misc_RNA from 1 species